AUGCACGCUGGCGGCGUGCCUAAUACAUGCAGGUCGAGCGAACAGACGAGGAGCUUGCUCCUCUGACGUUAGCGGCGGACGGGUGAGUAACACGUGGAUAACCUACCUAUAAGACUGGGAUAACUUCGGGAAACCGGAGCUAAUACCGGAUAAUAUAUUGAACCGCAUGGUUCAAUAGUGAAAGACGGUUUUGCUGUCACUUAUAGAUGGAUCCGCGCCGCAUUAGCUAGUUGGUAAGGUAACGGCUUACCAAGGCAACGAUGCGUAGCCGACCUGAGAGGGUGAUCGGCCGCACUGGAACUGAGACACGGUCCAGACUCCUACGGGAGGCAGCAGUAGGGAAUCUUCCGCAAUGGGCGAAAGCCUGACGGAGCAACGCCGCGUGAGUGAUGAAGGUCUUCGGAUCGUAAAACUCUGUUAUUAGGGAAGAACAAAUGUGUAAGUAACUAUGCACGUCUUGACGGUACCUAAUCAGAAAGCCACGGCUAACUACGUG
rnacentral:rRNA from 1 species